CAGAGCUUAGAAUACUAGCAUAAAAAGAAUAUAGGGAAGAAAUAAACAAAUUUGUCACAAAGAACCAUAGAGAGCCAGGGAAUUCAGCAAAAACAUUGGUAUAGAAAUGGAGGACAGGAAUGAAAUGUGGGGCUGAAAACAGAAGGAAUAAUUUAUUUACAAAGUGUGAUAGAUGUCAUGGCUCUCACUCAUAUUUUUUGUUUUAUUUCUUCUCAGUACAAGGUUCUUCUGACAUCCUGAGAAGUACCAGAGCACUCCAGACCUUGGAGGAAUGAAUAUUCAUGACUGGACAGAGGGCAUGGCUGAUGUUAUAGGAAAGUCUCAACAAAGGACAUUGACCUUUGAACUUGAGGCUUCUGGACUUAAUGAAGAAAGUUUAUCAAAAACUGCAUGUAAGAGUUUUGGAAGUUGGACAGUGGAAACAAAAACAGAAAAAGGAAGGAAGGGAGGGAAGACGGAAGGACCAAAGAGAAGCAGGUAUGAGCGAUGA
ensembl:lincRNA